rnacentral:sRNA from 1 species
UUUGUUUGAUUUUCUUACAGGACAGGUCUGCCCAAUCCAAUAAUAAUUACCUGCUUGUUGGAGAAAUGGAUAACCAAGUCAGUAUCCAAUCUGGGAGGAAGCUGCCUCAGCUAUGCCAGCAUUGUGCUGAAUGCUGAAGUCAGUGGCGUUGAUCUGUGUUGGCAGGCUGAAGAGGCUAGAAUCUUCUGUCAGUGGGAUAGACUCACUCAGAAAGGAGGGAUUGGAGAGUCCCUAUCAUGGAGGCUGCAGUCAGCCAGUGUGGAGCAUUUUCCUCAGCAGGAAAUCAUGUCACCUCUCAGGGAGUGCUUCCAGGAGAAAGACUUGUCAGAGUUCAGUCUUCUGCAAGGCUGGCUUCCUCCAGCCUAACCAUGCUAUGCACUCGUGCUUCAAAAAGCCUUCAAACAUUAAUUAACGUUUUCUGAAAAGCACCCAACCAUUCGGCUCUGAUAGCAGCGAGAUUGAAAAGCACGGAGUUCUGCAGAGGUUUGGCAGUGUGGCGAAGGAUCCAGACACAAAACCUGGGAGCUGUGUGCGCCUGCUGCACUUGCCUUACUGAGAUGCUAUCAGCUGUAGAUCCAAUCCCCAUCAAUCAAAUGCACAGCAGAUGAAAAUCUUUUUUACCCUUCUGCCUUCUCUACUGAAGACAAUAUUUGCCUCUCAUGGAGCUGAAUUUUUUCAUCAAUGAAUUCGACUUGCAUUGGCCUUGUUCAGAGGACCUGAGUUCAUUUUCCAGAACUCAGGCCAGGUACCAGACAACUCCAGUGUUAGCCUCCACCAGUCUUUGUCACAUGAAUGCAUACACACAAGAAAACAUUCACACACAUAAAAUAAAAAUAAAUUUGAAACAA